GCAAGUCGAACGAGGAAUUACUUAGCUUGCUUUGUAAUUCCUAGUGGCGGACGGGUGAGUAACACGUGAGUAAUCUGCCCAAAAGUGGGGGAUAGCCCGAGGAAACUCGGAUUAAUACCGCAUAUGAUCGCAAGAUUAAAGGUGGCUUCGGCUAUCGCUUUUGGAUGGGCUCGCGGCCUAUCAGCUUGUUGGUGAGGUAACGGCUCACCAAGGCUCCGACGGGUAGCUGGUCUGAGAGGACGACCAGUCACACUGGAACUGAGACACGGUCCAGACACCUACGGGUGGCAGCAGUCGAGAAUCAUUCGCAAUGGACGAAAGUCUGACGGUGCGACGCCGCGUGGAGGAUGACGGUCCUAGGAUUGUAAACUCCUGUCAUCAGGGAGUAAGGCACUUGGUAGUAACUGACUGAGUGUUUGAUAGUACCUGAAGAGGAAGAGACGGCUAACUCUGUGCCAGCAGCCGCGGUAAUACAGAGGUCUCAAGCGUUGUUCGGAAUUACUGGGCGUAAAGGGAGCGUAGGCGGCGAGGUAAGUCAGAUGUGAAAUUCCGGGGCUCAACCUCGGAACUGCAUCCGAUACUGCCUUGCUAGAGUAGUGGAGGGGCAUCUGGAAUUCACGGUGUAGCAGUGAAAUGCGUAGAUAUCGUGAGGAACACUAGUGGCGAAGGCGAGAUGCUGGACACUUACUGACGCUGAGGCUCGAAGGCCAGGGUAGCGAAAGGGAUUAGAUACCCCUGUAGUCCUGGCAGUAAACGGUGCGCGUUUGGUGUGGGAGGAUUCGACCCCUUCCGUGCCGGAGCUAACGCGUUAAACGCGCCGCCUGGGGAGUACGGCCGCAAGGCUAAAACUCAAAGAAAUUGACGGGGACCCGCACAAGCGGUGGAGUAUGUGGCUUAAUUCGAUGCAACGCGAA
rnacentral:rRNA from 1 species